GAAUUCCUGAGUGACUGAGCUGCGGCAGGUUAAAUACCUGAACUCGGCCCAAGCCUUUGAAGGGAGGGCGAGUCCCUGAGUGUGAGGGCCGCCCUGGGGCCACAGCUCCCAGCAGCCUCCCUCUGAGACAGCCCGGAAGCAGCCGGGGCUGGGGCUGCGUGUCCACAGCAGCCCGGGCACCCCGCAGGCCCUGCGCUUGGAAGCUGGGAAACUCAGACCUGGUGCCGGCCGAGGUCCAGACAUGGAGACAGCCCACGGAGACGCCCCGUGGAGAGGGCCCCGUGGAGGCAGCUGACCCAGCGGCGCCACCCACAGCGCCCCCGGGGAUGUGCGCCUGCAUCGCAGCCGUGGACAGAACCAGGAACCAUGGCUCUCACUCGCUGGUACUUGGACGCCCUUCUGAGGAGCUGCAGCCGCGGUGAGGGGUCUCUGCUUCCAUGUCUCCUAGGACGGGGAGCCCACUCCUGAUCGGGGAGCCCAUGACACAGUCAAGCAAGAGACAGAUUUCCCUCCUCGCACCGGGCACAGUCCUGGCCUCCAGGCCAGGCUGGGCCGCCAUCGCACAGAGCACAUCUGCCCCUCCCCCGGGACUGCUGCUCACACUCCCGACCAGGAGCCCUGGGCCCCUCACAGCCCACCUGCCACUCUGGCCUGCAGGGAGGGACGCGGUGCAGGGGACCCAGUCCUGCCCCCCUCCCCCAGGCCCUCAGCCAGCACUGUGGCUUCCCCGUCUGUGAGUUAUAUUCCUGAAUUCCCCCAUUUUCCCUGGAAUCUCACGACUGUCUCCUGAAUUCUCCCAGGGGUGCGUGGCCCUUGUCUCCCCGGAGCCCAGAGCUCUGU